GUUCUUGUUCCUGAUUUCUCAAGAGUCUUUAAGUGUUAUUUUCUUAAUUAAAGUACACCAGCUAUAUCUUAUGGUUUUAGUUUGCAUUGCAUUGAAAAUGAAUCUAAAAUUGCAUUGAGCUUGUAACAAUAAUAACAUUAUGGAUUUAGAAAGAUGUUAUAAAGUGUAAACCGUUUGUGCAAAUUACACUUUAGAAGAUAAAAUAACAGUUAAUAAAAUAUAUCAGUACUUGUUGUAAAACUAAGGUUUUAGGUCUGAAUGAUUCUGUGUUUUAUUAAUGAAUAAGAGAUC
rnacentral:lncRNA from 1 species